CACCAAAGGAACAGAGGAGAAGUAGGAUAAGAAUACGGUUAAAGGCUAAAAGAACUGGUCAUCUAGUGCGUUCGGAACAGAGUAAAAGGAGCAGAUUUCUGGAAGCGGAAGAAUAGAUUCAAGGCAUAAUGUACAGACAAGGGUAUGGUAGGAUGUGAGUACAGUGGAGAGGACUCAAGCCCUAGGACCAUGCCUCAGGACUACCUGGCCUGAUGACUCCUUGCUGUCCCCAGUCCACCUGGUCCUGCUGCUGCUCCAGUUUCAAUUGUUCUGCCUGUGGCUAUGGAACACUAACCUGUUCACCGGACGUGCUACCUUGUCCCAAAACUGCUGUUUUGGACUCUCUCUCUACCGUACCUGCUGUCUCUAACUCUGAAUGAUCGGCUAUGAAAAGCCAACUGACAUUUACUCCUGAGGUGCUGACCUAUAAUCUCCACCCAGCACAGCCAGAAGAGGACUGGCCACCCCUCAGAGCCUGGUUCCUUUCUAGGUUUCUUC
rnacentral:lncRNA from 1 species